UUAGGAUAUGUUGAAGCAACAAAGAAGGCGCAGUUGGAAAAUGAAGUUAUUAGUAUGAAGUAGCAUCUCAGGCAUAUUUGGAAAAGUAUGCCUAUAAGCAAGAUGGAAUUUGGGAAAAAAUGUUAUAAAUCGAGUGGCAUUAUUUAAGAUGUGCUCCAAAUAUUUGGCGAACUUUUUUUCGCCUUCUCAACGUGCUAAGUGACAAGAUAAGAUGACUGCCACCAGGGCCGGUAAGAAGCCCGAAGCAAAGGGAAAACUACCUUCCAGGAAGUUGCAUGCUGUCCGCGAGUCGAAGAUAAAGUUAAGCAAGAAGCAGGUCUGCAAAUGUGCUACCCUGAUAAGCGCAAACUAAAGCGCUCUACUGUGAUUGCACUCUGCAAGCGUGAAAAUUUGGAGCAUGCUGAGAAAUAUCAAGCAACAUAUCUCCUGAUGGACGCCGUGAGAUGAAGUUGCGCCGUCUACGUGCCCGCAGAAUGGCUUUUGUGAUCUUUAUCUGCGGUAUAAACAAAGUUGCACCAAAAGUGCGUAAAGUUUUACUGUGGUUCCAUCUUCGCCACAUUAACAACGGUUUGUUCAUCGAAUUGAACAAGGCAACCAUUAAUAUGCUACGGAUUGCCGAACCGUAUAUUACAUGGGGCUAUCCAAAUCUUAUAACAGUUCGUGAAUUGAUCUACAAACGUGGAAUUGUCAAACACAACUAUCAACGUGUCCCAAACUCUGACAACUAUGUGAUCGAACGCAAAUUGCACAAAGCGCACGAUAUUCAGUGCGUUGAUUAUAAUUAUAAUUAUUUGGCGUACGAAAUAUUCACUGUUGGAUCCCACUUCAAGAAAGCCUCGAAGUUACUGUGGCCACUACGUUGAUGUUGGUGAUUGCGGUAACCGUGAAGAUAAUAUCAACAAACUGCUGCGCAAGAUGGUUUAAAGAAAUUUUCUGGUGUACAAGGUUUAACCCGCAAAUAUGCCAAAUGGAAGGCAAACGGAAAUUCCAUUGCCGUUUGUAAAGGCCAUUUCAAAAGGCUCCAUUCCACAAAUUUAAUUUGUUUUGGUUUUUCAGCUCAUUAACGAUGCACCCAGGAUUGCAUUUACCGUCUAUGAAAAUAUUUCA